CGGGGGAGGCCGGAUCCUGGGCUGUGUCCCGGCGCCCUGUGCUCCGGGGCCUGCGCUGUUAGAUUCGCGCUCCUGCCCCGCAGCCCCCU
rnacentral:pre_miRNA from 1 species